ensembl:lncRNA
AGUGAUAAACUCCGAGAAGCUCACGACCUGCUGUGUGAGAAAGAUGCUCAGAUCGAGGAGAUCCUCAGGCAGAAGCUGCAAAAUUUUUCCAACCUGUCAGAGGUUCCCAUGGAGAACCCCACUACAGCAAGACGCCUGCUGCUGCAAGGUUCUGCGCCUGAGCUCCAGCAGGGGGAGCUGUUAAUUAACAAGGCCAUCAUACAUGCUGAGGCUUUACAGAUGCAGCUGAUGGAUGGAGAGAUGAACUUUAUCUCUGUCUGGAGAGAGUGAUGUCGAGCUGCGCAGAAAAUCACUAACUCUGCCUGCAUACAACAGAAUGAAAAGAAGUGCUGAUGGAUUUCGGUCCAGAGAUCAGAGACCGAACUCAGAUCCUCAUCUCAGAGACCUUUACCUUGAGCCCCUGGAGUUAUCUGCUGAUGAUGAGACUGCUCCACUUUUUCUCCUCCAGCAUGCGCCUUCAGAGCUGAGUGGAUUGAGGCUGCAGAUAAACUGAUACGGACGCUGUACAGUCUGAAGGCGCUGGUGUCUCAGCAGGACAGCGAGUUGGAGGUUCUGCGUGCAGUUCAGUUGGAGCAUGAGCGUUCGUCCCGUCAGCGUUACAGCUCCAUCCAGGAUCAGGAGCGACAGCGGCACCUGGAGAAGCAGCGUGAGGAGCUCCUCCACCUGCAGAAGGUCCAUACGCAGCAGCGGCAGGAGCAGGAGGAGUGGGCUCGCGAGCGUCAGCGCCACCUGCUGGAGAUGCACAGGCGCGAGCAGGAGCUGAGCCGCCGCAUGGACGAGUACACCAACAAGGAGGCGUGGCUCUGUGCCGAGAGGACGUCCUGCACCGCAGCCGGGAGGAGUACCAGCAGGACCUGGAGCGUCUGAGGGACAGCACUCGCAUUGUGGAGAAGGAGAAGGAGAAACUGGAGCAGGAUAUCAAGAGAUUCAGAAAACACAAGAACCUCACCAAUCUGGGUGGAGCCUCAACCUGGGCGGGGCCUCACAUCAGGACAGCGCACAGCUGGUUGUUCCAUAUUCAUCAGCUGACGAUAGGCUUGGCAGAUCUCCGGUACAGCCCAGUCUGCCUCAGGAGCGCCCUCCAGUGGUCCCUCCUCGCAAAGAGAGCAUGAGUGUCUCGGCGAGCGUCAAAGCAGAUGUUCC